CUUGUUGUUGUUCCUCUUUCUCCCCUGGCUUGGCUUUUUUCUCCCCCCCCCCCCCCCAGUGUUUUCGUUCUUUGAACAGGGUUGAACAAACACUGUGCAACCCUGGUGGUGAGCUCCUAGAGAUGCGGCUGACAUGGAAACCAACCUGGAGGACCUCACAGGCUGGAGUGCAAACAGGAGCCUGCAGCACCAAGACCUCCCAUCCAGCUAAGGUUUUCAAGUGUUCUUAUUUUGAUUUUUGAGCUCAUCUAACUUCAUGUGAAGAAUUUCUUGGUUGGAAGGACAGAAAUAAUGCAUAUUAGAACUGAAAUAAUAAUACCAUGUGUCCCUGGUCGUCUGUCUCCCACUGCGAAGCUAGCCCGGCAUACUGGCGCCCUGAACUUUGACUGACAAAUGGCGUCCAACAUGGGGCCUGACCUGCCCAUCUUCCAGAUAAGUGAAGCCUUUUGGCUACCUAUCCACUAUGGGCUGCUUUUCUGCUUAUGAAGAGGUUUCCAAAGGCCUCUGCCCUUUCUUCAUGAGACAGUUUCUCUGUCUCUGGAACACUUUGCUCUUCACACUCUGGUUUCUGCCCGCCGGAGCCUGCUCGCCUCCACGUGACUCAGGGCGUUGGGUGUGGGAUCCCUCCACGCUGCUUGGCCGCCGGGAGAAGGCCGGCGGGCAUGGCAGGCAGAGCUGCAGCCCAUCCUGGCUCCCGCCUCGGGGCGCCUCGGCCCUCGCUCUCUGCACGGCCAGCCCACCCGCCCUCCUGCUAUGAAGUCUGAGCAGAUCCCAGACCAUCCAGAGACCGUGGGCUCCCUGCUGGGACUGGGCCCCCUGGCCGAGAUCCCCAGCUCGGCUCUGAAGGCAGAGGAGCUAAAAUAUGCAGACAUCCAUGCAGUGAUCCCACCCUGCACUUCCUGGAGGUGAAGCUGGACAAGAGACCAGUGCCGGACAACGCACACCCCGAACAACUAAGACAGUACAGAUCUAAAUUCAUGUUUAAAAUGACAUGUCUUCCUAACAAAAGUUUUUCUUCUUGUGUAUUGAAGACCAUGUUUAUGUGUGUGUUUGAAGUUUGGUAAACAUUAACUUUAACAGAAGGGAUCCCAGAAGCAGAACUAGAAGCAUACCAACAAUACAGUGCCAUGCAUUGUCUUCUGUUACUCCUGAGAGCUGGCUCGCAGUUGUACAUGCCUGUACUUUGUGUAGGGCCAGAUGCACUUUUUUAUAGAAGUGGGUGCAUGGUAAAAGAUGCCACAGUAAACCAAGCCUCAAGAGAGCUCCAGUAUAAGUUGAAUGCUCUUUGUAUUUCAGUUAAGCAUGGUGCACAUCAGGUACCAUAUUAAAUUAUCUGUUAAUGUAACUAUCUUCCUGUUUAAUAGUUACUCCUGCCUAGAGUAUACACCUACUGAGAGGAUAUGAACCAUAGAUGUCAUGUUCACAACUCGCCCAUUACCUUGUAUAUACUAGGUAGAUAACAAAUGAUUGUUAAAAGGAUGAAUGAAAGAGUGAGUGAGUGAAUGGACUUCUCAAAGGCAGGAACUAUAUCUUUAUUUCAGUGCCUUAGAAAGUAUCCAGGAGGAGUCAGGCAUUGGUGCAGCGGGUUAAGCACAUGUGGCACAAAGUGCAAGGACCAGAGUAAGGAUCCCAGUUCCAGCCCCCGGCUCCCCACCUGCAAGGGAGUCACUUCACAAGCGGUGAAGCAGGUCUGCAGGUGUCUAUCUUUCUCU